GACGAACGCUGGCGGCGUGCUUAACACAUGCAAGUCGAACGGAAAGGCCUUUUCGGAGGUACUCGAGUGGCGAACGGGUGAGUAACACGUGGGUGAUCUGCCCUGCACUCUGGGAUAAGCCUGGGAAACUGGGUCUAAUACCGGUUAGGACCGCACUUUAGUGUGUGUGGUGGAAAGUUUUGUCGGUGUAGGGUGAGCCCGCGGCCUAUCAGCUUGUUGGUGGGGUAAUGGCCUACCAAGGCGGCGACGGGUAGCGGGACUGAGAGGUUGUUCGGCCACAUAGGGACUGAGAGACGGCCCAGACUCCUACGGGAGGCAGAAGGGGGGAAUAUUGCACAAUGGGCGCAAGCCUGAUGCAGCGACGCCGCGUGGGGGAUGACGGCCUUCGGGGUGUAAACUACUUGCGCCAGGGACGAAGCGUUUUGUGACGGUACCUGGAGAAGAAGCACCGGCUAACUACGUG
rnacentral:rRNA from 1 species